UUUGGAGGAAACAUUUGAUGUCGUAAUACCAUGGCUUUUCAUCCUUGACCUCUUCAACAGCAAACACAUGAGUUGGCCUAUCAAGAUGCAUCACAAUCAAAUUGGGAACCUCAUUCCAAUAUUUCACUAUGAUCAUUGAAGCCAACGUUGCAAGAGCAUCUGCCAUUCGGUUUUCAUCUCGAGGGAUAUGAUGAAACUCAACUUUUAUAAAGAAAGUUGAAAUCCUCCUCGCAUAGUCUCUAUAUGGUAUCAAA
rnacentral:lncRNA from 1 species